UUUUCAAAUUUGGGGAUUGAAUAUGAUUUAGGUUUGAAUUUCUUGGUUGGAUUGGUUUAGAUUUAGUUAUAGUUAGUUUUGGUUUUGAGUUAGGCUUCCAUUAACAUGCCUCUGAUAGGUAAUUUGGCCCGUUGUUUAUUUUUUAUAUUUUAAAUUAUUUUUGCGUUAGUUUUGGCUUGAUUUAGAUUGGUUUGGUUUUGAGUGAUCAUUUACGGAAUUCAUUGUAUUUGUUUCUCAAAAAAAAAAAAAAAAAAAAAAAACUGUUGUCUACAAUUCCAUCUUCUCCUACUUUUCUGCUCCUUCCCUGUAACAAGAAAGGUUCCAUUCUUAAUUUCUGAUCUUACAUAGUUUAUGCCUUAUUAUUCUUUCUAUACCAUUCACUAUUGUUUAUAUAAUUAUAUUCCAUCUUCCUAAUAAUUCUUCCCUUUCUAUUCUGUCUUUUCUCCAAUCACAGAAUACUGAUUUUCUAUGCCAGAUUAAGCCAUUGGAUUUUUUGCAAAAGGAAUUACUCAAUCAAGGUUAAAGGUUUUCUAACUUUGCCUAAUAGAACCACAAAAUUAUAAGAUUUGAGGAGAAAUAAAAAGAAGUAGCUUCUUCUUCUUUUGGAAUUUCUUGAGUUAGAGGUGUUUCAAUCUGGCACAGGAGCAUACUAGAGCAAGAUGACAAGUCAAGAUGGUGUUGAACAACCUUGAGAAAACAUGUAUGCAAAAAGAUCCUCAAUGGCUUGGUUGCUUACAACAUUAGACCCAUAAAGACUUUUAAGAAAGAAAGCAUGAAGUUCAUAAACAAAGGGCUAAACUAUUUGACUUUCGGUUUAUUUUAGGAUUGUAAAUGUUAUUUUGAGCUAUGAAUCUAAAUUUUUAUGAUGUUAUGAAGAAAGGUAUUUGUUUUUCUUUUGCGGUAAGUUUAAUUUUUUCCGGUUAUUCAAAUUGUGUUAAUAUAUAUUAUUAUGAUGAAGUAUUAUUUACUUUUGAUGAUGUUAUAUAAAAAAGAAAAGUACAUUGAUGAUGCUAUAAACAAACAACCAACACAACUAUAAAAAUCCCGUGCAUUUGCACGGGUUAUAA